rnacentral:lncRNA from 1 species
UCGAUUUUACUAUUCCAUGUUCUGCUAGCGCCCCUUUUUCGUUACUUUAAUUUAACGUAAUUUAAAUUUUUUUUAUUUUACCAAAUAUGAUAUUUUUUGAUCGAGAAAAAAUUAGAAAUGCAAUGUAUUUAUCUAUAUAUCUCGUUCUGGUUGCAAAGAGCAUCACGUAUUGAAAACUCCUCUCAAAAUCUUUACCCGCCACAUUGAAUGACUGAUAAGCAAUUGGAAAAAAAUCAAACAGGUAGAUUCUGAGAUAUCGCUGUACACAGAUUUGGGGGACAUCGGACGGACGGACACACAUUUUUUCAAGUAUGGUUAUUUUGACUCCUGGGACCUUAAAACGUCUAGAAAUGAUGAAAUUUCAACUUUUUUUUUUUUUUUCUUGGAGGAUGACAAUACUUCCUCUCUACCCUAUGGGAGCGAGAAAGUAAAAAUAUUCCGAGUAUGGGGAACAAUGGAAUGACGAAACAAUAAAAAACUACUCUGUCAGAAUCAGUGAACAGCGCAGCUAUGAUUUCUUCUGAAUUCAAUCUUUUCCUCUUUUUUUCACUUUUAAAAAAAAAAAAAAAAACAUCAUGAAGGUCAUAGACACAGCCUCUCGGCGGCAAAUAUAAGAGAAUCCGAGGAAUUGGGGAGCAGUUGAAAACCUUCCAGGCUUCAUUUUCAAAAAUGGCUGAUUUUUACCAUGUAUAAUUUUAAUCCAUGUUCAAUUUUGUUUCCAUGCUUUUCCUUUUUUUUCACACGUGACUCUUAGCGAGUUGAUGACGCAUUUCACCGUCGGUUAUAAAUGAUGCUAUGGGGCCUUUGGGGUUCAGAGUUCGUCAGUGAACUUUCACAGCGGUCGCAGAAAUCAAAGAGAGAGUUAUUCGUUACCCAUCCCGUGAUGAAAUUAACUAUCGCCGCGUUUUGCUUGGUUCUACUGGCCGUAGAUGUUGAAUUGCGAGUUGAUGACGCAUUUCACCGUCGGUUAUAAAUGAUGCUAUGGGGCCUUUGGGGUUCAGAGUUCGACAGUGAACUUUCACAGCGGUCGGAGAAAUCAAAGAGAGAGUUAUUCGUUACCCAUCCCGAGAUGAAAUUAAUUAUCGCCGCGUUUUGUUUGGUUCUCCUGGCCGUAGAUGUUGAAUUGCGAGGGAGUCAGAAACAGCGGAAACCGGAAGAGGAAUCGGAAGUGAAUCCGACUUUAGUCCGCAGAAGGACAGGCAAACCGGCUAAAGGUCCGUCAUCAGCGCCAACCCCACCGCGAUACCGUGUGAAUCCAGUGCGCGGAAAUCAAGCGCACAAGGAUGUUCGAGGCGACACAGCUAAACCACCCGAAGGCUUCGUGAUGCCCAAGUUAGAAAUCCCGGCACAACUGAAAGAUUACGAUGCCGACAUAAUCAAGAAAGCUCUGGAAGCUUAUAGUCAAAUCAAACCGGAGAUCCUUGAAAGAAUGCUCUUCAGAACCGACAUGUUUUACGGCCCAUUUUCAUCUGCGGUCCAGACUUUGACAACAAAAUUCAAAAUAGAUGACAAGCAAGCACGAAAUAUUGUUCGCCACCAAAUUGGAGAUCAACUAUCGCAGCUGGAGAUACAGAUGACCAUGCCAAUCGUUGAAAACAUUCUUACCAGAGCAAUGCUUGCGAAGGGUUUCAAUAACGCCUACUUGGAAAAACACAAAUUCAUCAAUAAAUCAUAAAGUCUAUACAGUUACGAAAUAAGAAUAGUAAGGAUUUUUGACCAAAAAAAUUAAAAAUACUCCUGGAUGAUUUCAUGAUACCAGGAAUAGUCGUGUAGCCGGUAGGAAUGAGUAACUUACGACACAAAAAUCGAAAAUUGAGGCAAUAUAUCGGAAAAAAGCUUGUUAUCAAUUGUUAUACCAUCAACGAAAUAUGUUAACUUGUUUGAAAUUUAAAUUAUGGCCUUUGUGAUGUUAAUUUUGUGACCCUGACGAUGAAGCGUUCGCUUCGGAAAGCUUCGGUCCAUAUAAGUUUUGUUAAUAAAAUGUAAGUUUUUAAAGAAAUUUUACAUUAUUUCUAGCACUAGGCUACACUCCAAAUUCCAGUAUAUUAAGUGCUACUACCUUCAGACAUUGCUUUGCAAUGUUCGCUGAUUUUGAUAUCGGAAUGUAUGAUGUGCCUAAGUUUAUCCACGCAAAACUAUAUAAAAAAUUAUCAUUAUUUAAAAAACUUGCGUCUACAAAGACGGAGAAUGUUCGAUCGGUUACACGUUGCCAAUUCCGAUCUUAAAG